UGUUGUAUGACAUUAGAGACUCAGGCAUGAAUUCAGCCGAACAGACGGUAACCUGGCUCAUAACGCUGGGGGUCCUGGAGUCUCCUAAGAAAAGCAUCUCCGAUCCAGAAGCUUUCCUUCAGACGUCCCUGCAGGAUGGAGCCGUGCUGUGCAGGCUGCUGGAGCGACUCCGACCCGGGACGGUGGACAAAUUUUUCCAGGAACCGAGGAGCGACAGCGAGUGUCAGAGGAACAUUACCGAGUUUAUUAGCGGCUGCGGGGCUUUCGGUGUGGAGCCUUUUGAGGUCAAUGACCUCCUGCAGGGACUGAACUUCUCCAAGGUCCUAAACUCCUUGGUCGCCCUCAACAAAGCGACUGAAGAUUUAGGCGUUCCUGGAGACGGCGUGUGUGUGCCGCACUCGUCAACGUUGAGGAUCAAGUCGUUUGAUUCUCUGAACACUCAGAGUCGCUCCUCCAAACUGCUGCAGCCUCAGUACCGCAGCCUGGACAUGUCUGAAGGCAGUGGGUGUGGCCAUAUACUGGUCAAGGCGCGCUUUGCCUUCCAGCAGACCAAUGAGGACGAACUCUCUUUCUCAAAGGGCGACAUCAUCAGUGUGAUGCGGCAGGAGGAUGGGGGCUGGUGGGAGGGCUCGUUCAAUGGCAAGACUGGGUGGUUUCCCAGUAACUAUGUACGGGAGCUGAAAGGAAGCGACAAGUCAUCAGACAAGCCAAAGUCUGGGACAUUGAGAAGUCCCCCUAAAGGUUUUGACACCAGUAUCAUCAGCAAGACCUACUACAAUGUGGUCCUACAGAACAUCUUGGAAACAGAGACUGAAUAUUCGAGGGAGCUACAGAGUCUCCUGGGAUCAUACCUGCGUUCACUCCACCCCACAGACAGACUCAGCAGUGUUGACAUCAGUCACAUUCAGGGAAAUCUGGAGGAGAUCUCAACCUUCCAGCAGAUGUUGGUUCAGUCCUUGGAGGAGCACACAAAACUCCCAGAGGGUCAGCAGAGGAUAGGAGGGUUUUUCCUGAGUCUGAUGCCCCAGACGAAGAUCCUCUAUGUGGCCUACUGCUCCACCCAUCCAGCUGCUGUCAAUGUACUCACCCAACACAGUGAGGAGCUGGGGGAGUACAUGGAGUCAAAGGGGGCGUCCAGUCCAGGGAUCCUGACCCUGACCACCAGUCUGAGUAAACCUUUCACGAGAUUGGAGAGAUACCCGACCCUGCUCAAAGAACUGGAGAGACACAUGGAGGACCAGCACCCUGACAGAGCUGACCUCCACACUUCUAUGAUGUCCUUUAAGACCCUUGCAGCUCAGUGCCAGGAGGUGAGGAAGAAGAAGGACCUGGAGUUACAGAUUUUAACCGAGCCAAUCAGAAAUUGGGAGGGGGAUGACAUCAGAACCCUCGGCCCUGUUCUCCACAUGUCCCAGGUCACGGUCCACACCCAGAACUGUCAGGAGUUAAAUGAACGCUACCUCAUCCUCUUCCCUCACACUCUACUCGUGCUUUCUGCAAGCCUGAGGAUGAGCGGAUUCAUCUACCAGGGGAAGAUGUCUCUGUCAGGAAUGCUCAUCUCCAGAAUAGAAGAUGGAGAAAACCUGAAGAAUGCUUUUGAAAUAUCUGGUGGACAGUGCGAGCGGAUGCAGGUGGCGUGCAACAGUCAGCAAGAUCUACAAGACUGGCUGGACCUUCUCACCAAACACACACACACUUCGGCCACGCAAAGACACUCACACAGGACUCAGUCUGUCUGUCACACAUUGCCCUCCAACCCCAUCACUCCUUCCAGACACUCAGAGUCUCGUGCAGGGAGCAGCGGACACACCUACCACACUCUUCCCCAUCCUUCAUCAUUUGGGACAGGCCUCAGCAACAGCCCCAUGUGGGGCCCCUUGGAGCCUCCGAGUACCCCCAAACCCUGGAGUCUCAGCUGCCUUCGCCCUGCGCCUCCACUGCGGCCCUCCGCUGCUAUCUCCAACAAGGAGGAUAUAAGUAAGAGCCCUAAGAAUAUGAAGAAGCUGCUCCCUAAGAGGAAGCCAGAGAGGAAACCCUCAGAAGAAGACUUCACUGUCAGAAAGAGUACGGCAGCUCUAGAGGAGGACGCUCAGAUACUGAAAGUGAUUGAGGCCUACUGUACCAGCGCUAAGACACGGCAGACUCUCAACUCCAGCUCCAGCAGGAAGGAUGUUCACAUGUUGUUCCCUGAGGAAGAGAAGAUUAUUGUGGAGGAGACCAGGAGCAACGGACAAACUGUAAUGGAGGAGAGGAGUCUGGUGGACACCGUGUACAGUCUGAAAGAUGAAGUUCAGGAGCUCAAACAGGACAACAAGAGGAUGAAGAGGACGCUGGAGGAGGAGCAGCGAGCGAGGAAGGAGCUGGAGAGGAUCAUAAGGAGAGUACUGAAGAACAUGAACGAUCCAACCUGGGAUGAGACUAACCUCUGAGAUUAAGAUAUGUCUGAUCAUCAUGGACAAGACCAAUUUGACUUUUAAAUGACCAAAUGACUUAAGAACUGUUGUUCCACCUGUGUGGGAUCUGAUGGCCAAUAAUGAUAUUUAUGGACAGAAGCUGCCAAUGCUGACAUUCAACAUCUCUUCACCAUUUCCACUUGCUUUGAACUUCUCAGUGACCUGUGUACCAAACUGUGGACCAAGAGAAAAUGCCUGCCAGCCAUCAGCAAAACCAUCCCAACUGACCAUAAAGCUGUGAAAUCAAAUGAGCUGGAAGAAAUCAUAACGAUGAUUUGUACAGAAAAGCAGCAUUUCCUCAUGAACAUCAGGAGGCGUGCCUUGGGGAGAAGAAAUAUUCUUUUGCUGAAGCUAUUAAGCUUAACGACUUUACUUGCAAAUUAAAUAUUAGUGAAACUAGAAACCACACAAUUGUAAGCUAUAGAAUGGAGUAUGACUCUUAACUUAUGUAUUUAACUGAAAGUGACUGAUGUACAGUAAAUAUUGUGUGUUUCAAUGUUACUGUGAUGAAGAUGAUUACAGUAGUUACAAUGAGGAGAAUGACCCCCCUUCCCUCUU